AGAGGCCGGGUGACAGGUGCUGCAUGGCUGUCGUCAGCUCGUGUCGUGAGAUGUUCGGUUAAGUCCGGCAACGAGCGCAACCCACGUCCCCAGUUGCCAGCAUUCAGUUGGGCACUCUGUGGAAACUGCCGGUGAUAAGCCGGAGGAAGGUGUGGAUGACGUCAAGUCCUCAUGGCCAUUACGGGUUGGGCUACACACGUGCUACAAUGGUGGUGACAGCUGGGUUAAUCCCCAAAAGCCAUCUCAGUUCGGAUUGUCC
rnacentral:rRNA from 1 species